GUUCAAGAGUACGUGAAACCGUUCAGGGGUAAACCUGAGAAACCCAAAAGAUCGAAUAGGGAGAUUCAUCGUCAGCAUGUUUCGUAUAUGUAUGAGUUAUGAUGCGGGUUACUUUUGUAUUGCUUGCACAUUCUUGUAUAUUUAAUUGCGGAAUAUGUCGGCGUGCACUUCUCCCUUAGUAGAACGUCGCAACCCGUUGAGUGUUGGUUUAUGACCCGAGUGGGAGACUUUAACGUUUUUAACAUUGAAGACCCUUGGUGUUCUAACUGACUGUUCGACGGUACUCUUAUGGUAUUAAGUCGCAUAUUUUAUGCGUUCAUAUCUGUCACAAGUGAGGUCAAUUUUCUGACAGUACGGACCUUGUGCCGUCGUUGGAUUUGACCAGCUGUUGGUUGACGGUAUUCUAGAACAGAUUUAUACCGGUUGGCGAUGCUACUGCUUUGGGUACUUUCAGGACCCGUCUUGAAACACGGACCAAGGAGUCUAACAUGUGCGCGAGUCAUGGGAUUAUUUAAAUAACCUAAACGCGCAAUGAAAGUAAAG
rnacentral:rRNA from 1 species